UACGUAGGGUGCAAGCGUUAAUCGGAAUUAUUGGGCGUAAAGCGCGUGUAGGCGGCUUUGCAAGUCGGGUGUGAAAGCCCUCAGCUCAACUGAGGAAGUGCGCCCGAAACUGCAGAGCUUGAGUGCCGGAGAGGGUGGCGGAAUUCCCCAAGUAGAGGUGAAAUUCGUAGAUAUGGGGAGGAACACCGGUGGCGAAGGCGGCCACCUGGACGGCAACUGACGCUGAGACGCGAAAGCGUGGGGAGCAAACAGG
rnacentral:rRNA from 1 species